rnacentral:rRNA from 2 species
AUGGCUCAGAACGAACGCUGGCGGCAGGCUUAACACAUGCAAGUCGAGCGCCCCGCAAGGGGAGCGGCAGACGGGUGAGUAACGCGUGGGAAUCUACCUUUUGCUACGGAAUAACUCAGGGAAACUUGUGCUAAUACCGUAUGUGCCCUUCGGGGGAAAGAUUUAUCGGCAAAGGAUGAGCCCGCGUUGGAUUAGCUAGUUGGUGAGGUAAAGGCUCACCAAGGCGACGAUCCAUAGCUGGUCUGAGAGGAUGAUCAGCCACACUGGGACUGAGACACGGCCCAGACUCCUACGGGAGGCAGCAGUGGGGAAUAUUGGACAAUGGGCGCAAGCCUGAUCCAGCCAUGCCGCGUGAGUGAUGAAGGUCUUAGGAUUGUAAAGCUCUUUCACCGGUGAAGAUAAUGACGGUAACCGGAGAAGAAGCCCCGGCUAACUUCGUGCCAGCAGCCGCGGUAAUACGAAGGGGGCUAGCGUUGUUCGGAUUUACUGGGCGUAAAGCGCACGUAGGCGGACUUUUAAGUCAGGGGUGAAAUCCCGGGGCUCAACCCCGGAACUGCCUUUGAUACUGGAAGUCUUGAGUAUGGUAGAGGUGAGUGGAAUUCCGAGUGUAGAGGUGAAAUUCGUAGAUAUUCGGAGGAACACCAGUGGCGAAGGCGGCU